CGAGAGACAACAAACGGUUCGGAGCGGCUCUGAGGAGAGAAAGCAGCGGCUGGAGUAACUGCCGACAUCUUUCCAAGACUGCAAUAUGGGCCACGAAAAGCCCAAAAAGGAUUAAAGGGAAAUAUUGAUGAUGCUACAGAUCUGAAAAUGCUCCUGCCCUGAAUACUGAUCCUGAUUUCAUCAUUUUUUCUCCUGGAUAGUGGUGGCUUUUUUAUGCUUUUAGAUGGUCAAGAGGGGAGAGAAUGUUUGCUAUAAACUAAAGACUGGAAUACCAUCGUCAGGACACACGCAUUCCUGGAUAUGAACUAGUGCUGAUUCUGAAAUUAGUCACCAUCCAGCUUUGAUUACAUCUCAAAGACUACUUCAACAAGCAACUUUGUUCAAUCCUCAUUCCUCAGGAGCAGGAAGGGCGCUAAUCUUAUUUUCUUAAUGUAACAGCUGGCUAAGAGGGAACCAGGUUAUGUGCCAGACUGACUGAAACUGACUGCAUACUUUGCAGAAAGAUUGUGAUCCUGAGAUUGACCCAUUUUUCGUAGCUGAACUGCAAUGCACACUUUAGAAAACUGCAGUAACUAAGAUGGGGAAAUAAUUUGUGGAGACUGAAGUCACACCGGGAAGUACUUUGAGAGCCAAGCUACACGUUAAUCCAUAAAAACCCUAUCCCUCUGGCAAUGCAACUGAACACAAUAUUCAUUAUGGAAAUGUUAUUGCUUUAUUAUACUUUCAUUGAAUCCUAGGGUUAAUGAGAAUUAAAGGCCAAAUUGUUUAAUUAUCAAGAGAUGCUGCAACUGUGUCGACCUUAUGUUGAAAAAAAGUAUCAAGUUGCUGCUUGACUUUUAAAACCAGAGUAAAAUUCAUAUCCAUCCCUAGCCAUUGUCUUCAUAAGAAAAUGACUGGCCACUUCUAAUUGAAGUUUGGUGCAUUAAAUUGGUUGGUGUUACUGAUAUUUUAGCCCCUCCAAAUGAAAGUGCUAUUUUUACAUAAACUUUGUACUGUACUUUGCCAAUUCCCUCAGUGCUACAUACUUCGAAUUAAGUGUGAAACUGGCACUAUAUUGUUGAUUUCAAACAAAUAGUUCAACAUGCUUAGCUAUUACUUACCCAACAUGAUUUAAAUUUAACAUCUGCUUUAGUGAAAUCUGGAGCACUGAGCCCCUUAGACUUGGGUUACUUCUCAUUUCCUUCCCUUCCCGCCCCCCAUGAAAUAUUGGUGUUUUGGCCUGCCUCUCUGGAGGUAGGUAGCAGCUUAUUUAAUAUGUAAGUUAUUUUGAUACUAACAGACAGAUAUAUGGAGUUUAAUACGCUUAUGACUCCAUUUAGAAAAUAAUGGGAAAAUAUAUUUGCUACUUGUGACAAUUCUUUUGAAAAUCAGUUUGUCCUUUUUACUGUACUUUUUGCAAACCAUCAGAUGCUUUUUGUUGCACGCAAACGAUGUAUUGAGCUAAAUGGUUAAAAGCUGGCAAAUUCACUUAUAUUGCUAUUUGUAGGUUUGUAUUUGAUUUUUAUAUUUUAUAUAUGAUCCUCCCAC